ensembl:snoRNA
AAUUAAAAAUUACUAUUGGCAGACUUUCUUACCCAUAGAUUUUGUAUCUUUGGUGUAGGAGCUGCAGAAGAAACUCUU